rnacentral:lncRNA from 1 species
GUUCUCCCCUAGCCAGGAAAAAACAGACAAACAAGGAGCUGUCACACAUGGGUACGGGGAUUCUAACAAGUAGCCUUUGACCCCGAGGAGGUGCGUGCUGACGAGAUACAGGGGCCUGAUUAAAGCUUCAAGCAAAAGUUUUACCUGCCACUGACACUUCAUGCACCAGGAACAUGCUGGAUAAUAUGGUCCAAGUGGCAGAACAACUGGCCUAGCACUCCGGAUCUUUACAGAGACUUCUGUUCUGGGCCCCAUUCAACAGCUGUCUGAUAACUUGAGUCUCCUUCUGUCACCAGGCUGGAGUGCGGUGGUGCAAUCCCGGCUUACUGCAAUCCCCGCCUCCUGGAUUCAAG